rnacentral:rRNA from 1 species
UACAGAGGUGGCAAGCGUUGUUCGGAAUUACUGGGCGUAAAGGGCGAGUAGGUGGCCAUCUAAGUCAGACGUGAAAUCCCCCGGCUUAACCUGGGAACUGCGUCUGAUACUGGACGGCUUGAGUAUGGGAGAGGAACGUAGAAUUCCAGGUGUAGCGGUGAAAUGCGUAGAUAUCUGGAGGAAUACCGGUGGCGAAGGCGGCGUUCUGGACCAUUACUGACACUGAGGAACGAAAGCCAGGGGAGCAAACGGG